rnacentral:ncRNA from 1 species
GUUUUCGGGGCGGGGUGAGAUUCCCCACCGGCGGUAUUUCCGGGAUACAUCCCGGGGGAGCCCGCGAGCCAUGCUGGAGACAGAUGGCAUGAUCCGGUGAGAUUCCGGAGCCGACAGUAUAGUCUGGAUGAGAGAAAAC